AAAUAGAAAGGACAAGAGAUAACAGUAAAUAAAAGACCAAAAAGGGAAUGAGAAACGAAAUAGUCCUUCCUGGUUCAUUUUCUCUUCUUAUCUCUAUAUCUCGUCUCUCUGGAGUUUGAUGGAGGACGAGGAGAUAAGAAAUGAACCAGAGGGAAGGACAGAGG
rnacentral:ribozyme from 1 species